CCAAAACACUCCUCUGAAACCUGAAGGAGAACAUAGGCUUUGAACAAUACAAAGUCCAGGUAUUGAGCAAGAGAAUUCCCCAGAGGCUGACUAGAAGCCAUGGAACACGAUUCAACAAUGGACAACUGGCUUUAAAGAGAUAAAUAACAACUGACUACAUAACCAAGCCUGGUUAAAUACCAAGAUACUCUUGUUUUAGUGCCACUCAAAGAAAUGGCCUCUCGAUUACGACACCAUAAAGGCAGAGGGUCAAACCCCCAGACCUCCUCGAGGACCUGCGGAGAGAACAGAGGCGUCACGGCCGGCCCGCGGCCCCGCCGCCCCGCCCUCCCCGUCGUGGACCCACCUGGAGCAGGACCGUGCCGGGCCCCACCCGCACCGUGACCCGCCGCCCGCUGGGCGCCAGCACCGACACCGCGGCGCCGCCCCCACCCGCCGCCGCCAUCUUCCGCCAGCGCCGGGCCCGCGCGGCCGGGGCGGAGCCGGCCCGGGGCCGUCCUGCUGCGGGCCCGCCCCGCCGCGCCCGGGCCGCGGCCGAGGGAGCGGAGCGGGGGGAACCGGCCCGGCCGGGUGGCUGUGGAAGCGUGUCCCGGGCGAGUCUGGCGGAGCCGGGGCCGGAGCGGAGCUGUCCGCCCGCGACGGGCGGCGGUUCCCGGAGCGCGAGGGGCUCGGGCAGCAGCGGCCCCUGGCAGGGCAGACGCGGGGCGGCUCGGGCCGCUCCCCGGCGAAGGGCGGGGGCGACCCCCGGCCCUGCCCGCUGGGCCGUGGUGGGGGCGGCUCCGGGGCCGGGCCCGCAGCUCCGCGGGGAGCGGGAGGGGAGCGGCCGCGCGUCCCGCCGUGGCUGACGGCGCUGCCUUGCCCCUUGGGUUUCCAAUGUCGGGAUCGUCACCUGCUCCGAGGAAAUAAAACAUUUCCGCGUCGUACCGGGACACCCCCCCGGCAGCGUAAGGGGUGACCCCGGACCGAGCGCAUCGGCCCUGCCAGCACCGCGGGCAGCGCCGGUGGCCAGAACUGCCUUGGGCCGACGGAUUCCUGGCUCUCUCCCGAGCAGGGAUACCGAAGAUCCCUGCGCCUACAAGGAAGGUUCUCUUGGGCCAAAUAACAGCCCUGGCGAACCCCGCAUGUCAGAGGGGAGCGUCCUGCCGCGUUCCCAGCGCCACGGGAGUGUCCAGGCAGUGUAACAAUCAGGGCAUCGCUGGGCAGACCAACCACGGCAUCCUGCUGCCCUUGAAAGCCAUUUCUUCUCGCCAAAAAAAAGGAUAAAGAAGUUGGUUGGAAACCUCAUGGCCAGUGCUGCUGCAAAGUCAGCUGGUUAGGUGAGAUGGCUACAGCCAAGGAACAGAAAUAAUCAUACAUAUUACAAUACAGAAUUUCCCAGAGACUUUAUUUCAUUUAUGGACUUCUCCUUCAGUCUCAGCAAGGCCUUCUUCAGUCAAAGGCACUCUCAGAUUCAAUGACAGUCUGUUGUGUUUGCUAUCAUAAAAAAACCCCAACUUUUUAGUUUGAGUAACCACUGGAAUUUAUUUAGCCUAAGUUGUAACCACAUGCCAAAUACUUUCUCUGCUUCUAUAUUUAUCAUAUAUGUUAAGCUUAAGUCCUCACUGCUACCCCCAGCACCCACAAAAAUGUCUGCUUUGCUUGGCUUAUAAAGGAAAAAGAUCCUUUUAAGGAAAGACGCUUUUGUAAGAGAUAACACUUGUUUUUACCAUAUCAGCAGUGUGGGAGAAAGGGGAAGAAGAGUGGAUGGGAAUUUUAAUGAUGAAGAGACAUCUCUUUUCUUAUAUACGUGGAUUCACUGUAACUGUUCAGUGAGAUGUAGCAAUAAUAAUAAAGGAUGCCCAGGUCUAUAAUGUUUAAAACAA